CCGUAUCGCGACCUGUUGUACCGACCAUUGUAGCAUGUGUGAAGCCCUGGACAUAAGGGGCAUGAUGAUUUGACGUCAUCCCCACCUUCCACCGAGUUAACCCCGGCAGUCUCUCAUGAGUCCCCACCACAACGUGCUGGCAACAUAAGACAAGGGUUGCGCUCGUUACGGGACUUAACCCAACAUCUCACGACACGAGCUGACGACAACCAUGCACCACCUGUACACCAGCCACAAGGGAAGGACUAUCUCUAGCCCGGUCCGGUGUAUGUCAAGCCCAGGUAAGGUUCUUCGCGUUGCAUCGAAUUAAUCCACAUGCUCCGCCGCUUGUGCGGGCCCCCGUCAAUUCCUUUGAGUUUUAGCCUUGCGGCCGUACUCCCCAGGGGGGGGCGCUUAAUGCGUUAGCUACGGCGCAGG
rnacentral:rRNA from 1 species